rnacentral:rRNA from 1 species
AUGCAUGUCUAAGUAUAAGCACUUGUACUGUGAAACUGCGAAUGGCUCAUUAAAUCAGUUAUCGUUUAUUUGAUCGUACCUUUUUACAUGGAUAACCGUGGUAAUUCUAGAGCUAAUACAUGCGAAAAGUCCCGACUUCUGGAAGGGAUGUAUUUAUUAGACUAAAAACCAAUACGAGUUUCUUCUGAGGCUCGUUCCUCUGGUGAUUCAUGAUAACUUCUCGAAUCGCAUGGCCUUGCGCCGGCGAUGUUUCAUUCAAAUUUCUGCCCUAUCAACUGUCGAUGGUAAGGUAGUGGCUUACCAUGGUUACAACGGGUGACGGAGAAUUAGGGUUCGAUUCCGGAGAGGGAGCCUGAGAAACGGCUACCACA